rnacentral:rRNA from 1 species
AUUGAACGCUGGCAGCAUGCCUUACACAUGCAAGUCGAACGGCAGCACGGGGCAACCUGGUGGCGAGUGGCGAACGGGUGAGUAAAGCAUCGGAACGUACCUUUCAGUGGGGGAUAACGUAGCGAAAGUUACGCUAAUACCGCAUAUUCUGUGAGCAGGAAAGCAGGGGAUCGCAAGACCUUGCGCUGAUUGAGCGGCCGAUGUCAAAUUAGCUAGUUGGUGAGGUAAAGGCUCACCAAGGCGACGAUCUGUAGCGGGUCUGAGAGGAUGAUCCGCCACACUGGAACUGAGACACGGUCCAGACUCCUACGGGAGGCAGCAGUGGGGAAUUUUGGACAAUGGGGGCAACCCUGAUCCAGCCAUGCCGCGUGAGUGAAGAAGGCCUUCGGGUUGUAAAGCUCUUUCGGCCGGGAAGAAAUCGCACGGGCUAAUACCCUGUGUGGAUGACGGUACCGGAAUAAGAAGCACCGGCUAACUACGUGCCAGCCGCCGCAGUAAAAC